UCCUAGCUCCCUCUGCUCUCUGCCUCUUCAGCCUGCUCCAGAAGGUUUCUGUCUGAGGAAGGACAAGUUCAUCUGUGAAGCAAGCAAAGACCUCCUCAGUGAAAGGACAAGAGGCAUGAGGAGAUAUGGCAACAGGAGACAAUGGGAUGUGACACUUCUGACUGAAAUAAAGGAAAAGAAAGAUCCAGCACCAGAUCUAGCACCUUCAGACACAGACGUGAACGCUUGAGGUGCAGACACUUUGCUGUGGAAAGGACUUGCCUCACCUAAUAAAUUAAGUCACGUCCGAGUCCUGGAUGGGCCUCCAGGCUGCGCAAGAUGCUCACAUUGGCGUUGCAUCCGAACUCAGCAAGAUAACCACAGUUCGUGGAAGCAGUUUUCCUUGGCACACCACACGUGCACGCUCUAUUCAUGUAGUCAGUCAUUUAACAGAUAUCCACGCCAGGGAGCACAAGUGGCACAGGAGAAAACACAAAGGUAAUCAAGACAUGGCUUUUGUCCUGAGACGCUCAUUAGCUCAUGCCCACCAAUGUUUGGGGGUCUUGACAGUCACAUCCACAGGUUCUGCAUCCGUAGGUUCUACCAGCCAUAGAUGGACAAUCAGAGGAAAAAAUUACGCUUCUGCUGAACAGUACCAACUGUUUUCUCAUCACUUUCCCCAAACAAUACGGUAGAACAACUGUUUCCACUGCCUUUGCAAUGUAUCAGUACUGAGCCACCUAGACCUGAUUUAAAGUACACAGGCAAAUGUGUAGAUGAUACGAAAACACUACCCCUUUUACACAGGGGACUGAGCA